rnacentral:rRNA from 1 species
ACGGGUGAGUAACACGUGGGAACGUGCCUUUAGGUUCGGAAUAAGCCCGGGAAACUGGGUCUAAUACCGGAUGUGCCCUUCGGGGGAAAGAUUUAUCGCCUUUAGAGCGGCCCGCGUCUGAUUAGCUAGUUGGUGGUGUAAUGGACCACCAAGGCUACGAUCAGUAGCUGGUCUGAGAGGAUGACCAGCCACAUUGGGACUGAGACACGGCCCAAACUCCUACGGGAGGCAGCAGUGGGGAAUCUUGCGCAAUGGGCGAAAGCCUGACGCAGCCAUGCCGCGUGUAUGAUGAAGGUCUUAGGAUUGUAAAAUACUUUCACCGGUGAAGAUAAUGACUGUAGCCGGAGAAGAAGCCCCGGCUAACUUCGUGCCAGCAGCCGCGGUAAUACGAAGGGGGCUAGCGUUGCUCGGAAUUACUGGGCGUAAAGGGAGCGUAGGCGGACAUUUAAGUCAGGGGGGAAAUCCCAGAGCUCAACUCUGGAACUGCCUUUGAUACUGGGUGUCUUGAGUGUGAUAGAGGUAUGUGGAACUCCGAGUGUAGAGGUGAAAUUCGUAGAUAUUCGGGAAGAACACCAGUGGCGAAGGCGACAUACUGGAUCAUUACUGACGCUGAGGCUCGAAAGCGUGGGGAGCAAACAGGAUUAGAUACCCUGGUAGUCCACGCCGUAAACGAUGAUUGCUAGUUGUCGGGGGAUUUAUCUCUCGGUGACGCAGCUAACGCAUUAAGCAAUCCGCCUGGGGAGUACGGUCGCAAGAUUUAAACUCAAAGGAAUUGACGGGGGCCCGCACAAUCGGUGGAGCAUGUGGUUUAAUUCGAAGCAACGCGCAGAACCUUACCCCCUUUUGACAUGCCUGGACCGCGUGAGAGAUCACGCUUUCCCUUCGGGGACUAGGACACAGGUGCUGCAUGGCUGUCGUCAGCUCGUGUCGUGAGAUGUUGGGUUAAGUCCCGCAACGAGCGCAACCCUCGCCAUUAGUUGCCAUCAUUUAGUUGGGAACUCUAAUGGGACUGCCGGUGCUAAGCCGGAGGAAGGUGGGGAUGACGUCAAGUCCUCAUGCCCCUUACAGGGUGGGCUACACACGUGCUACAAUGGCGACUACAGAGGGUUAAUCCUUAAAAGUCGUCUCAGUUCGGAUUGUCCUCUGCAACUCGAGGGCAUGAAGUUGGAAUCGCUAGUAAUCGCG